GCCAGGCAUGGUGGUACAUGCCUGUAAUCCCAUCCACUUGGGAGGCUGGGGCAGGAGGAUUAUGAGUUCAAAGCCAGCCUCAA
rnacentral:sRNA from 1 species